rnacentral:rRNA from 1 species
AUUGAACGCUGGCGGCAUGCUUUACACAUGCAAGUCGAACGGUAACAGGCCUUCGGGUGCUGACGAGUGGCGAACGGGUGAGUAAUGCAUCGGAACGUGCCCAGAGGUGGGGGAUAACGCAGCGAAAGCUGUGCUAAUACCGCAUGUGAUCUGAGGAUGAAAGCGGGGGACUAAGCAGCAAUGUUUGGCCUCGCGCCUCUGGAGCGGCCGAUGUCAGAUUAGGUAGUUGGUGGGGUAAAGGCCUACCAAGCCGACGAUCUGUAGCUGGUCUGAGAGGACGACCAGCCACACUGGGACUGAGACACGGCCCAGACUCCUACGGGAGGCAGCAGUGGGGAAUUUUGGACAAUGGGCGCAAGCCUGAUCCAGCAAUGCCGCGUGCGGGAAGAAGGCCUUCGGGUUGUAAACCGCUUUUGUACGGAACGAAAAGGCUCUGGCUAAUACCUGGGGCUGAUGACGGUACCGUAAGAAUAAGCACCGGCUAACUACGUG